CCCCUAGAUGUUCUGGGCCGCACGCGCGCUACACUGAACAGUUCAACAAGUCUUAACCUUGGCCGAUAGGUCUGGGUAAUCUUUGAACGCUGUUCGUGAUUGGGAUAGACCUUUGCAAUUAUGGGUCUUCAACGAGGAAUUCCUAGUAAACGCAAGUCAUCAGCUUGCAUUGAUUACGUCCCUGCCCUUUGUACACACCGCCCGUCGUACCUACCGAUUGAAUGGUCCGGUGAAAUCUCGGGACGGCGGCUCGGUCGCUUGCGUCCGACUGCUGAAACUUGAUUAAACCAUAUCAUUUAGAGGAAGGUGAAGUCGUAACA
rnacentral:rRNA from 1 species